UACGGAGGGCGCAAGCGUUGUUCGGAAUCACUGGGCGUAAAGCGCGUGCAGGCGGCUUGGUAAGUCGAACGUGAAAUCCCCGGGCUCAACCCGGGAACUGCGUCCGAUACUGGCAGGCUUGAAUCCGGGAGAGGGAUGUGGAAUUCCAGGUGUAGCGGUGAAAUGCGUAGAUAUCUGGAGGAACACCGGUGGCGAAGGCGGCAUCCUGGACCGGUAUUGACGCUGAGGCGCGAAAGCCAGGGGAGCAAACGGG
rnacentral:rRNA from 1 species